rfam:Phytophthora sojae unplaced genomic scaffold PHYSOscaffold_5, whole genome shotgun sequence.
GCUGCCAAAGCUUAGUGGUAAAGUCCUCGGAUCAUAACCGAGAGGACGGUGGUUCGAUUCCACCUGGCAGCA